CCUACGGGGGGCAGCAGUGGGGAAUAUUGGGCAAUGGGCGCAAGCCUGACCCAGCAACGCCGCGUGAAGGAAGAAGGCUUUCGGGUUGUAAACUUCUUUUAAGAGGGAAGAGCAGAAGACGAUACCUCUUGAAUAAGCCACGGCUAACUACGUGCCAGCAGCCGCGGUAAUACGUAGGUGGCAAGCGUUGUCCGGAUUUACUGGGUGUAAAGGGCGUGCAGCCGGGAAGACAAGUCAGAUGUGAAAUCCCGUGGCUCAACCGCGGAACUGCAUUUGAAACUGUCGUUCUUGAGUAUCGGAGAGGUCAGCGGAAUUCCUUGUGUAGCGGUGAAAUGCGUAGAUAUAAGGAAGAACACCAGUGGCGAAGGCGGACUGCUGGACGGCAACUGACGGUGAGGCGCGAAAGCGUGGGGAGCAAACAGGAUUAGAUACCCGAGUAGUC
rnacentral:rRNA from 1 species